AAAUUAAGCAUGUGGGUUGCUUGAGUUAGCCAAUUACUUCAAUUUGAUGGAUGGCUUUGCUCCUUCUUGUAGUGGAAGGCUCUUAACCAGAAUUUCUAAAAUUUCUGUGGCCAGAAAAAUAAUUAGUAAAUGGAAAAUUGGCAAUAAAAUCACUGUUAAGCAAUGAUUGAUUUUGACAGUUUUUUGAUAGUCCAACAUUUGAGGUAGGUCUUUGUGUUGAUUGUGAUAACUAUUUUUUUAAUGCUAUGGAGAUGUUUUUAAGAAAAAACAUAUAA
rnacentral:misc_RNA from 1 species